GAGGAUCAUCAGCAGAGAGAGUCCACAGCAGUACACCAGACUCUUCACUAUCAGCACUGUGUACAUCAGACAGAGCAGCUUCACCUGGCACUGAGACUGGAAGGACACUGACAGACAGACAGACAGACAGACAGACAGGAGAACCGGACCAGAGGAGGAAACAUGUCUGAGGCCACACACAGCAGGGAGCUCUUCCCCUCCAGGUGGGCUCUGGAUGCUGCUGGGUACACGCUCACCACGGGCUUCACUAUCUGCUCAUCUGAAGUUUGACAGCAGCAACAAGCAGCACAGACACACAUUCACACAGUCAACAGCAGCUUACAGCACUGCACUGCAUUCAGUCUGAUCCUGGAAACUACAUGGACUCUGAUCACUAAACUACUCAUCAAUACAGCACAAAGUUCAAUUCUUCAAUCUGCCUUCAAGAAAAGAAAAAGUAUUUUAUAUAUUAUGGUUAAUGUUAUUUUUUAUAGCAAAGGACAAAUUGAUCUUAACAUCAACACAACAGCCGAUGGAUGAUCACAAUAUAUUAGAUAUAUUAUAUAUUUACCAAUAUUCUUCACUCUAACUGCCAGAUAUCUACGGAUAUGAGACUUUAUUGAUCCUUCAUGGGAGAAUAAUUAAUAUAACGUCAUAAAAUAAAAUAAAUCUGGAAAUGUAGAAAUCUUUAAAUGUAAACUCAAAGUGAACUCUGUAGCUGGUUUUUAACUAGGAAUGUUUUAUAGAUAUUAUUUACCUCAUUUUAUUCUGUUAUUUUAUCAGAUUUCCUUUUAAAUUUCAUUGUAAAUGAAAAGUUUACAAGGGGUUAAAAGUUUAGUUUCUUUCUUUUUAAUCAAUCUUAUUGAUUUCAUUUGUCUUUAAUUAUGGUUUAUUAAUCUAUUUGAUCUAGUUUUUAGUAUAGCUUUAAACAAUAUUUUUAUAUCUCUAAGAUUUAAUUAACUGUAUUUUAUUUUAUUUAUUUUUGUCUUUGUAUUUUUUGGAAAAUCUGAUUGAAUAGUUUUUGAAAUUAUAUGUUCAGUAUCUGAUACAUAUUUACCGCUAUAUACUAUAAAAUCUGUUUACUUUUACAAAUUGGAAAUUAUGUUAAACAUCAUAUAAAGUAUUAAGAUAGAAAUGUGUGUGUAUGCUAUUAUAUAUCAUCAUUAUAGAAAUAUAUUAAUGAA